CCCUGGUUAGUUCAGUUGUAAGAGCGCUUCACUGGAAAUGGAGAAGCUCCGGGGUCGAUGUCCGGACCAGGCG
rnacentral:tRNA from 2 species